AACAGGAAGCUUAAAAGACUUCCCACCCCCAUGAUAAAAAGGAGCUGGAAAAAACAGACUAUUGAAGACAAGAGAAGAUGGAAGGAGAAAGAAUCAGAAAAAGUGAUAGUGGUGGUUUUUCCCUUGGAAAUACCCCUCUAUUUGGAUACUAACUUUUUGGGUUUUCUCCAUGAUGUGCCACCUUGACAUCACACAGCUGCCCUGUAGGAUCCAAGUGGACUUCCACAUAGAACAUAUCUGAAGUUAUGUAACACUCGGUACCAUUUGCACUAAGAUUUAUUUGAUCAAGGAAACUAUGGAAUAAUUGCUAAAGAGAUGGACCAAACUGUAAGUCCUGUGUACAAGCUCCACCACUUUCAGGAACUCAUUCUCGGCCAAUAACAGUUUUUCAAUCUCACUUUCCUAUCUGUAAAAUGGGAAUAAAAGGAACCAAACUGUCAUGAGGGUAAUGGUUGCCAUAUACAGGACAAAUAAUGGAGCUGAUUGCAAUGGAUGGUUUAGUCCAAUUGAUUACCUUUAAGACAUGCACAAGUCCAUUGUGUAUAGAACAACCACUUCACUGUAUUUGUAUU